rnacentral:ncRNA from 1 species
GCAGAGUAGAAAAUUCCGCGUGAAGUGCCAUUCGAACGGGGAGUUGUCGAAUGGACGAAAAGCGUCAGCAGAACGCUUGCGGUGGAGUUUUCGCAUCCCGCUG